rnacentral:lncRNA from 1 species
CUAUUACUGAAAUGAGGAGAGAGAAUCCCCUAACAGAGCCUUUGUGCCACCACUCAAGUUGAAGAAUAUCACUGGGAAUCAAAAAUAAAGUAUAAAUAUAAAGGAAGACGUGACUUGGAGAUAGGAUUCUGUUAAAGAGUAGCUGAAUACAACUCCUGAUUGAACAGGCUGUGCAAAAGGAGAAGGAAGAGGAAGAGGCAGAGGAAGAACUGAGUCAUCCCCAAGCUUGCUAAUAAGCCUCAGAGUUGCCCAGUUUUAUAGCUGACAAUGGGUCACCCAGUAAGGUGGCACAGCAAGGAUUAGAUUCAGAAUCCCUGGUAUGCUCUCUGGGUUCAGCCUGAUGGGUAAAAACUAUAAUACAAAACUAUUAUUCAUAGGACCUUAUCAUUCCAACAGGCCCUAUAGGGAAGGAUGGACAUUGGACUCUACUUCUCUACCCUGUUCUCCCACUGCACACAUGAAGACACAAAAGUAUACACACAUGCAGAUGCAUGUGGAGCACACAUGCUCACAUCUUCACAUAUGUACUCCUGCUUUUAAUCUGCUAAGAGGUCCUGACCCCACCUCUGCCCAAGACCUUUCUCCAUCACCUCCACAAGACCAGGUCUUACCAUGAGUUGUCUGGCAAAGGCACUAAAUAAGAGGCAAAAUAAGUAUCAGGAGGGGCAGUGAAGUGUUUGCUGAGUCCCUGUAGGGACUGGAGCACUUAUGGUAUGCUUCAUAUUUUGGCACUGAGUUAUACAUUGACUGUUUUUCAUAUUCCUGGACACAUAUCAGUCUUAUCACCUAUACAGCCAAUAGUCACCCCAAGGGGGGAUUGGGUUUUCUAAAGCAGUGGUUCCCAAAUGUCCACCCAUGUACCACUUGCAUCAGAAUCAUUUGGAACAUUUGCCAAAUUUUUAUUCUCAGGCCCCACUUCAGGGCAAUGGAAUCAGACUUUCUACUGGCAAGACCAUGGUAUCUGUAUUUUUUCCUAAGAUCACCAAAUGAUUCCUGUAGUAGAGCUUUUUAGGGCUUGCGUAUUCUAAUUUUUCUUUCCUCCUAACCAAAGAAGACCACAGUGAUUCUGCUUUUGCAAGUUAGAUGGGCCAUAGUGUUCUGGCAAAUUGGCUGUGAGUGGAAAUGCCACGUGUCACUUCUGGGUGGGGGCAUUUAAUUAUUAUUGCAAGACCCUCUCUUCCUCUGCUGCAGGAGGAGCCUCCUGCUCAGACAGUGAAGAGAACCCAUAGCUUCCUCCUUGUCCCAGGACUUCUUCCCCUGCACUGACUCCACAUCAAGAGUAGGACAGGGUUGACCCAUGAAGGUGCCCUAGGAAGAUACUUCAC